AAACCAGCACCUCAAGUGGUCAGGAUGAUUAUUGGGCCUAAAGCAUUCGUAGCCGGCUCUGUAAGUUUUCGGUUAAAUCUGUACGCUCAACGUACAGGCUGCCGGGAAUACUGCAGAGCUAGGGAGUGGGAGAGGUAGACGGUACUCGGGAGGAAGUGGUAAAAUGCUUUGAUCUCUCGAUGACCACCUGUGGCGAAGGCGGUCUACCAGAACACGUCCGACGGUGAGGGAUGAAAGCUGGGGGAGCAAACCGGAUUAGAAACCCCGGUAGUCC
rnacentral:rRNA from 1 species